rnacentral:rRNA from 1 species
CGGACGACGCUGGCGGCGUGGAUUAGGCAUGCAAGUCGGACGGUAGGGCUUUAUCGUAAGAUAGAGUUUGAGAGUGGCGAACGGGUGAGUAACACGUAGGAAUCUACCCUUAAGACGGGGACAACCCAGGGAAACUUGGGCUAAUACCGGAUGAGAGUGCGAGAGAUUGCAUUUAAAAGGAUGGCGAAAGUUGUCGCUUAGGGAUGAGCCUGCGGUCUAUUAGUUAGUUGGUGAGGUAAGAGCUCACCAAGGCGAUGAUAGAUAGGCGGCCUUAACGGGUGGUCGCCCACACUGGGAUUGAGAUACGGCCCAGACUCCUACGGGAGGCAGCAGUCGAGAAUAGUCUACAAUGGACGAAAGUCUGAUAGUGCGACGCCGCGUGAACGAAGAAUCCUUUCGGGGUGUAAAGUUCUUUUCUAUGUGAGCAGUUCCUUUUAUAUGAAGAGUAUAGAAGGGGGGAUUUAAGCAUAGGAAUAAGCAACGGCUAACUCCGUG